GAUGAACGCUGGCGGUGUGCCUAAUACAUGCAAGUCGAGCGAACAGACGAGGAGCUUACUCCUCUGACGUUAGCCGCGGACGGGUGAGUAACACGUGGAUAACCUACCUAUAAGACUGGGAUAACUUCGGGAAACCGGAGCUAAUACCGGAUAACAUCUUGAACCAUAUGGUUCAACAGUGAAAGACGGUCUUGCUGUCACGAAUAGAUGGAUCCGCGUCGCAUUAGCUAGUUGUUACGUUAACGGCUUACCAAGGCAAGGAUGCGUAGCCGACGUGAGAGGGUGAUCGGCCACACGGGAAGGGGGACACGGACAAGACUCCUACGGGAGGCAGCAGAAGGGAAUGUUCCGCAAUGGGCGAAAGCCUGACGGAGCAACGCCGCGUGAGUGAAAAAGGUCUUGGGAUCGUAAAACUCUGUUAUUGGGGAAGAACAAAUGUGUAAGGAACUGAGCACGUAGUGACGGUACCUAAUCAGAAAGCCACGGCUAACUACGUG
rnacentral:rRNA from 1 species